rnacentral:tRNA from 1 species
GGGCGAUUAGCUCAGUUGGUUAGAGCAUCUGACUUACAUUCAGAAGGCAAAUGGUUCGAUUCCUUCAUCGCUCA